CCUACGGGUGGCAGCAGUGGGGAAUAUUGGACAAUGGGCGCAAGCCUGAUCCAGCAAUGCCGCGUGGGUGAAGAAGGUCUUCGGAUUGUAAAGCCCUUUCGACGGGGACGAUGAUGACGGUACCCGUAGAAGAAGCCCCGGCUAACUUCGUGCCAGCAGCCGCGGUAAUACGAAGGGGGCUAGCGUUGCUCGGAAUGACUGGGCGUAAAGGGCGCGUAGGCGGAUUGUACAGUCAGAUGUGAAAUUCCCGGGCUCAACCUGGGGGCUGCAUUUGAUACGUAUGAUCUAGAGUCCGGAAGAGGGUGGUGGAAUUCCCAGUGUAGAGGUGAAAUUCGUAGAUAUUGGGAAGAACACCGGUGGCGAAGGCGGCCACCUGGUCCGGUACUGACGCUGAGGCGCGAAAGCGUGGGGAGCAAACAGGAUUAGAUACCCCUGUAGUC
rnacentral:rRNA from 1 species